rnacentral:rRNA from 1 species
GGCCAGACUCCUACGGGAGGCAGCAGUGGGGAAUAUUGCACAAUGGGGGAAACCCUGAUGCAGCGACGCCGCGUGAGUGAAGAAGUAUUUCGGUAUGUAAAGCUCUAUCAGCAGGAACGAGACAAGACGGUACCUGACUAAGAAGCCCCGGCUAACUACGUGCCAGCAGCCGCGGUAAUACGUAGGGGGCAAGCGUUAUCCGGAAUCACUGGGUGUAAAGGGAGCGUAGACGGCUGAGCAAGCCUGAAGUGAAAGGCGGGGGCCCAACCCCCGGACUGCUUUGGGAACUGUACGACUGGAGUGCAGGAGAGGUAAGUGGAAUUCCUAGUGUAGCGGUGAAAUGCGUAGAUAUUAGGAGGAACACCAGUGGCGAAGGCGGCUUACUGGACUGUGACUGACGUUGAGGCUCGAAAGCGUGGGGAGCAAACAGGAUUAGAUACCCUGGUAAC